rnacentral:rRNA from 1 species
UGAGACUGCCGGUGACAAACCGGAGGAAGGUGGGGAUGACGUCAAGUCCUCAUGGCCCUUAUAGGUGGGGCUACACACGUCAUACAAUGGCCGGUACAAAGGGCUGCCAACCCGCGAGGGGGAGCCAAUCCCAUAAAACCGGUCGUAGUCCGGAUCGCAGUCUGCAACUCGACUGCGUGAAGUCGGAAUCGCUAGUAAUCGUGGAUCAGAAUGUCACGGUGAAUACGUUCCCGGGUCUU